AUGAUCUCCCCUCUUUCCUCACGGGGGAUCUCAAUUUCUCCAUUCUUCACCUCCGUUUUCUGCUUCGGAUCCUCCAAGAACAGCUGGUACAACCGCUUCCUGAUAACAAUCGGUUUUUGGUUUUAUGAUAAUUUUCACACUGUGGUUUAAUUAAGUCGAUUCGUUUGUAAAUUUUGGGGAUUAGAUCUUUAUGGGUAUUGGAUCGAACCGGAUUUCAAUACCGUUGCCACUCUUUCCUGCCAAAAGUCUUUGGUAGAAGGUGCAGUUGCAGAAAUGUGGGGAAGUAAUGUGCGGUGGCGUAUGGUGGUGGUAUGCGGUGGCGUAUGGUGGUGGAGUGGUGAGCCCAGUAAAUUUGUGUGACGGAGAUGAGCUUGAGUUCCCAUUAGUGUCAUGAGAGACACAAACAUGUAUGUGUGUACCAGAGGAUAAUAUGGAAUUUAUAGAUAUGAAUGUUCAUGUUAAGUGCCUAAUUUUGGGGAU
rnacentral:lncRNA from 1 species